rnacentral:rRNA from 1 species
UCAGGCCUAACACAUGCAAGUCGAACGAACCCUUCGGGGUUAGUGGCGCACGGGUGCGUAACGCGUGGGAAUCUGCCCUUUGCUUCGGAAUAACAGUUAGAAAUGACUGCUAAUACCGGAUGAUGUCUUCGGACCAAAGAUUUAUCGGCAAGGGAUGAGCCCGCGUAGGAUUAGGUAGUUGGUGGGGUAAAGGCCUACCAAGCCGACGAUCCUUAGCUGGUCUGAGAGGAUGAUCAGCCACACUGAGACUGAGACACGGCCCAGACUCCUACGGGAGGCAGCAGUGGGGAAUAUUAGAGGAUGGGCGCAAGCCUGAUCCAGCAAUGCCGC